AUUGAACGCUGGCGGCAUGCCUUACACAUGCAAGUCGAACGGCAGCGGGGGAGAAGCUUGCUUUUCCUGCCGGCGAGUGGCGAACGGGUGAGUAAUACAUCGGAACGUGCCCUGUAGUGGGGGAUAACUAGUCGAAAGAUUAGCUAAUACCGCAUACGACCUGAGGGUGAAAGUGGGGGACCGCAAGGCCUCAUGCUAUAGGAGCGGCCGAUGUCUGAUUAACUAGUUGGUGGGGUAAAGGCCUACCAAGGCGACGAUCAGUAGCUGGUCUGAGAGGACGAUCAGCCACACUGGGACGGAGACACGGCCCAGACUCCUACGGGAGGCAGCAGUGGGGAAUUUUGGACAAUGGGCGAAAGCCUGAUCCAGCAAUGCCGCGUGUGUGAAGAAGGCCUUCGGGUUGUAAAGCACUUUUGUCCGGAAAGAAAUGGCUCUGGUUAAUACCUGGGGUCGAUGACGGUACCGGAAGAAUAAGGACCGGCUAACUACGUGCCAGCAGCCGCUGUAA
rnacentral:rRNA from 1 species